UACGUAGGUGGCAAGCGUUGUCCGGAUUUAUUGGGUUUAAAGGGUGCGUAGGCGGUUCUAUAAGUCAGUGGUGAAAUCCGGCAGCUCAACUGUCGAUGUGCCAUUGAUACUGCAGAACUUGAGUACAGACGAGGUAGGCGGAAUUGACGGUGUAGCGGUGAAAUGCUUAGAUAUGACAUAGAACACCAAUUGCGAAGGCAGCUCGCUACACGAAUAUUGACACUGAGGCACGAAAGCGUGGGGAUCAAACAGG
rnacentral:rRNA from 1 species